GACGAACCACACGAACGUUAUUCGGAAUUACUGGGCUUAAAGGGUGCGUAGGCGGCCUGGCAAGUUGGGUGUGAAAUACCUCGGCUCAACCGAGGAAUGGCGCUCAAAACUGCCGGGCUUGAGGGAGAUAGAGGUGAGCGGAACUUAAGGUGGAGCGGUGAAAUGCGUUGAUAUCUUAAGGAACACCCGUGGCGAAAGCGGCUCACUGGAUCUCUUCUGACGCUCAGGCACGAAAGCCAGGGGAGCGAACGGG
rnacentral:rRNA from 1 species